GCCAGUUAUAUAGGUUUUCACAUAGCAUUAGUGUGCAAAUUUCCCUGCUAAUUGGCCUCUGCCACUUUAAGGGGCGGUUUAAUCAUGUGACUGCUUGCUCUCUGCCGCACUCUGACAUGUGCAGUCCAUACACGUUGUUAGUGCAAGAUGACAAAGUGAGAGCAGACUGCAUGCUGUGGCUCCUUUACAAUCCUUGCCAAUGUUGUGUGUAAAUGCCUAUAAAACACGACAUGACACUUCAGCCACUUCAGCAGACAAAUGGCAAUAUGUCCCUUCUGAGGAGAACCCGGCUGAUGAUAUCACUGGUGGUAAAUCACAGAGAGGCUUAUCUAGGCCUAGCCGCUGGAUAUGUGGACCUAGAUUCCUCUAUCAGUCUCCAAGUGAAUGGCCAGCCAACCCUGCUACAACUCUACCCCAGUCAGAAGAGACACAUAAUGUGACUUUCUGUGGCAAUAUUGGGAAAGCUACUCCUGCAGCCCCUGACCCAGCUCAAUAUAAAACCUGGUCUGAGCUUGUCCAUGCCACAUACCAGUCCAAACACAGGGUGGCAGCACCUCCAAUGACUGCCUCAGACCGGCUAGAGAUUGAAGUUGCCAUCCUCAAGCGAGCGCAAGCAGACAGCUUCAAUGCAGAGAUCACUGCUCUGCAGUUAGGUAAACCACUCAGUACUAACAGUCAUCUUCUUUCUCUUUCCCCUGAAUAUGACCAGGUAGUGGGUCUUCCUCAUGUUGAGAAAGGCAGUAGAGCUGCAGGAUUCAAUUCACCCAGUAGUCCUGGCACCUGACCACCCUGUCACUAAGCUGCUGAUACAGGACUACGACAGCCAUCUGCUCCAUCCUGGUCCUGACCGCGUGUUCGCUGAAAUAAUAAGGACAUACUGGAUUCUUUGUGGCCGGCAAGCAGUGAAGAAACACCAACACAGCUGUAACGAAUGUCAGAAGUGGCGCAGCAAACCUAUUGUUCCCCGAAUGGCAGACCUUCCUACUUCACGGCCGUAGACAAGAGAAGAGAUGGGGUAUCAUUUUCAAAUGCCUCACUACAAGGUGUAUACAUCUUGACCUUCUGGGUAAUUUGGACACAGACUCCUUCUUGCUUGCCCUGCGACACUUUGUGGCCAGAAGAGGAAAGCCAUAUGAAAUUGUUUGUGACCGAGCCACUAAUUUUCAGGGUGGAGAGGGAGAGCUGCGCAGAGCCUUUGAGGCGAUGGAGCCAGCAUUAAAGGAGCAACUAGCCGAACAGAGCAUCACCUUCAAAUUUAACCCACCUCUUGCACCUCACUUUUGGGGGCAUAUGGGAGCGGGAAAUCAAAUCCGUUAAGACUGCUCUCCAAGUCGUCCUGAAAGACUGCUCUUUCUCUGAAGAAGUACUGCUGAUUGUACUGAUAGAGGUUGAAGGCAUUCUUAACUCAAAACCUCUUGGCUAUGCAUCUUCACACGUUGCUGAUCCUGACCCCAUUACUCCUAGUAAGUAAGUAUUAUUUUGUACCAUGCCUCCAUGUUUAGUAGUUCACUGUAUGGGAUAGAAGUUCUGUAGACUUUGUAGGAACUGAUUUAACUAUUUUCCAUCAUUUAUUGCUUAAUCAUGCUGAUAUGGCCGCCAUUAUGCAUAGAGCAGAAGCUCAGUAGUGCAAUGACGUCAUUAGGCGGUCUUGGGCGCCCUCUGGUGGACGCUAUCUAUAAUUACAUUUAAAAUAAUAUUUUCAGUAGUUUGUCAUAUUGGUAUUUGCAAUUUCAUUGGUUUGAUUGUAUACAUAAUUUAGUGUUAUUAAUCGAUGAUGUUUACUGUUUGCAAUCAAUAUAUUCAAUUUAUAUUCUUUACUGAUUACAUAUAUAUAUAUUUGUUUUUUGUUUUUUUAUAGAAAACCACGACAUGACACAACAUGACAUGACACUUCAGCCAAUGUAAACACCACCACUGAGUGAACUGUAUACUGUGCCUUGUGUGGAUUCAUUAAAGAUACAAGAAAUUCUCCUAGAUUCGCUGCAGUCUUUCUAACAGAAGACUUGGGCCAGACAAGUGUACCCCAGCAACAUACAUUACAAAUACAUCCUACAAUUAUUGUUAUAUUGUUCAGCAUUUGUGAUGACAAAAAUACACAAGAGUCAUUCAUAUGCCAUCAAGGAAAGAAUAUAAUGAUAUUGCGAUUUUUAAAUCUACAGGAGACAUUUUUCAACAGGCCAGUAUAAGUGAGAUUGACAAAUACCUUCAUUUGUAGGCCUGAUUGUGCAGCAGAGGCAAGGGGAAAAAUUUGUUUUGUCCUCAAUUUCUUCUACAAAGUAUGAAAACAGCAGGUGGCCAUAUUGUUUCAUGCAUAUUAGGUAUGAAGGAGAGAAGAUACAGCUUGCAAAUAAGAAACUAUGAACUCAGCACUUCAAGUAACACAAAGAUAAGUGUUUUUAUUGCCUUUCUUGAGUAAAAAAAAAAAGCAAGCUUUGGGAAAAUGUCAAAAGCUGGGCAACCAUUUUGUUUUAGGCAGUAAAGGAGUAGAGAUACAGCAUGCUAACAACAAUAUUUUAAUUCUGCAGAUCAGAAUACAUAAGAAUAGAACUUUUAUUUGUUUGUAAUGCAAAUACAAGUACAUUUGUGGGAAAUUUGAUGAAAUGGGCGGGCAUUUUGUUUUAUGCAAAUUAGAAGGUGAAACAGUAAAGAUACAGCAUGCCAACAGCAAUUUUUGAACUCGGCAUGUCAAAAUACAUAAGAAUCAGCCUGUUGUCUGCUUUUAACAGAAAAUACCUUGGGUAGUCUACUUAUCUGAAAAUAGAACCGAACCUUCUUUGUAUCCUUUAUGGCUUCCACUAAAUACUAAAUAUUUGCAGCGAUUCCUCGUGUAAGAACCCAUUAGUCCAUCUGCUUAUCUGCAAGGUUAGGUUUUUCUUGCAAUGUCAAAUGAAACUUUCACACAAACAUUUAGAUGUUUCCUGAAAUCUAUUGUGUGUGUGUGUGUGUGUUUUCUAGAAUAGUUGUACAUAAAAGUUGUGUUGUGCUAUAGCAAUGUCCACUUCCUGGGUACCUGUGGUCUUAACCACUUAUAAUGACACCUGAAAUAGGCUCCAACUCCCUUGUGACCCUUAAUUGGAAUAAGCAGUUAUAGAAAAUGAAUGAAUUUCUUAAUCAAAUCUGUUGUCGACAUAAGAAAUCGUAGACUAAUGCUGUUACAGUUACCUCAGGAUUCGGAAACCACGACUGGGAAUGAAGUCAUUCCCCAAAGUAAACGCGUUCCAGUUUCCACAUGCCUCAAGUCACAAAAACAUUGGACGCCUCCAUGUUUUUGAAGUAUAGAGUGCUACAAAAAUAUGCGGCUCACCAAAGAGACCCCCUGGAAGAGAACAAAUGGCACAGAAGUUAUAUUACUGUUUUAAUUUAGUGCUCCAUUUGUAGCCAGUCAUUAACAUCUAAGUUAGCCAAUAUUAGUGGCACCAGUUUAUAAACCAGCGCGUUACGUGGCAUUUCACACAUAAAAAUACCAUAGAAACAUGUCCACUGACAGCAGUAGGGCAGUACUGUAUGCAUGAUAUAUAAAAGUACAGCUGACACUACUGCUGAUGCUCGGAGCAGCCAUCUUGGAUUGUGAACAUGGGGGGUACCACAUACGAGUACAGUUGACAAGUUGGAAGUCUGGCAUUUCUGGGGGCAUAACAGGAAAAUUCCAGCAUCCAAGUACAACUGCAAUGCACUACAUUAUAUAAUAUUAAGUAAUUUUAGACAUAUAUUUAUGGUUAAUAAAUCAGAUUUUUUUUUAUGAGUCGACAGACUAAUGACACUGUCCCAAAUGACCAAACAUCACUAAAAAUUACUUUUGUGUUUUGUGUCAACAAUAAAAAGAAUUUAAAAAAAUGGCGAGCUAUGUUUGGAGUAAAAUCCUGUCAUAAUAUAAAAACUAAUUCUAACAUAAAGCGUUGUUUGAAUAAAUCCGUCUUUAGAAUAUCUUACACCUCUUAUGAACUGAACAUCAUAUUGACCUUUAUUACAUAAACACAGGGAAUGUCACUACACCAUGUAAAGAGGCUUCAUCCAGUCUGUGGAUUCAAACCGUCAACCUUCUUGAGGCAAGAGUGAUAAUCAGCAAGGUAUUUCACCAUAUCUAAUUUUCUGUCUUUAGUGUGUUUGUCUUCCAAACAGAAGGAUGCCAGUUGAAGGCCAGCUGUGCCACAUUCCCUGUAUACAUCUCAAGAUGCAUCAGCAAGGCUACCCGGUGUAAAGCCUGUGACAAAACAGCAUGUGGUUAAUACCAAAGCUGCUAAAAAGUAGCCAAAAGAUGGAUCAGUUGAUAGUUUUCUGUGUUUAACAAACCCUUACUGCAUUGAUUAUGAGAUAAAUGCAGCUAAAUUUGUGGCAAAAUGUAU